GCCUGGAUAGCUCAGUUGGCUGGAGCGUGGUGCCGAUAACGCCAAGGUUGCAGGUUCGAAGCGGCUUAUUCCUGCCUUGUGGGCG